AUAGCUCGCACGCAAAGCUCACCACAUAGGCCUAUAGCCAUAGUCACACCUUGUAACUAAAUGGUGCCUUGGGUUGAAUAAUGUUGAGAGAUAGGGCUUUAUAGGGAAAGACUGAAAUGCCCAAAAAGGAUUUCACAACUCCAGACUCCUUAAUGCGAUUAAUAUCAGAGCAUACAGUAGGUAUAAACUUGUCAGACACAACUUUUCAGAAACAACAAAGAGGGUAUGAUGGCAAUAGGUCCUGUUAAAAAAAAAAUCUUUGGAAAAUACAAAAUGACUGUUGAAAAGCACCACCUGCCACCUUAUUUUAAUAUUUCACAGUGUAUACAGACAGUUCCCCCCACCCCCCACCAAACAGACCUGGUAUCUCUCAUUUAGUCUUCCCCUCUUCCUGUAUUCUGUCCUUCUCACUUCUGUUCUUUCUGUAUCAAAGGAAGCAGUAUUUUCAUUCAUUGGAGGAUAUAGUCUACCUACCCUUUUUGAGAGGAAAGAACCCCACCCCCAUUUCUCAUGUAGUGAUGUGUGGGACAGAAAGUCACCGAGAUAUCCAUGGGUUGCUGGGGGAUCUCCACUUGCAGAUAAGAAACAACUUGUCAGAGUAGCAACAGAGCCUCUGAUCCCCAGAGGGAGCAUUGGAUCUCAGGCGUAUUCAGACAGGCCAUAGUCCUGACAAUCAGGCUCCACAGAUGACUUCACUACCUGAGGGCGGUGUGAUCACAAUGAGCCCAGCCGUCCUCCCAUUCUUCCUUCCACCAGCUUCUACUGCUUGAGGGUCUCUGAUACUGAAGUCAUUGCAUUGCUCAUCCAGUCCUGUGCUGAAACCAGAGAACAAAACCACAUCAAACAAUCCCAUAGGGGAAGAGUAAUACUCAUGUUCAGUGUGUUAAUCUAAUACAUUUUGAGACUAAUCAUAGGUCCCAAAUGGCACCCUAUUCCCUAUAUAGUGCACUGGUCAAAAGUAGCUCUGGUCAAAAUUAGUGCACUAUAUAGGGAACAGGGUACCAUUUGGCAUUUGGGACUAACCAUUCUCAGCGUCUUGGGCACCAUUUUGUAUUGAAUCUAAUAAGUUAGUGAAUCUGACCUCUCUGGAAUGAAAAUGGAUGGCCCUCCCUAUAACCAAAAUAAUAAUUAAAACAUUAAGUGGAUAGCAGACAAGCCUACCGUGUACCCUCCCUUCUCGGACAGAUCAGAGCCUUUUAGAAUCCGUUCUUCAUCCUGUAAGCAUUACAUGGCAACGCAGGAAUUUUGAUUCAUACAGAGCUGUGGGCCAGAAGGUUGUGGGUUCACAGAACACUGUGGACAAGAGUAGGGGUGGAAUUAUCUCCUUUAUAGUAAAAGCAUUGCAUGAAUGUAUUUGCAGGACCGAGAAAAAAAUGCCUGUCAUAAACAUUUCAUGCAAUUUAAUGUUAUUUUACAUAUUACAUAUUUUAAAGAAUAGACAGAGAUAGGUCUAUGUGUUCAUCUGAUCAUAUUUCUCCAAUGCCAAAUCAGUGUGUCUUGUUUGCAACAAAACUGUCCCUGUUUGAAAAUAAUUAAAUCUGACUUGUCAUUAGGAAUGUGAGUAUGGUACUUUCAAAAGUUAGGCCUACCUUUCCACUCCAGUCAGAGUAGGCCUACUGAAGCAGAAAAAUGUCCAAUUUAACUGCUGGCCACUUCUUCCGUGGUUUAACCUAACAAGAGAAGGUCACAAGUGUUUCUCUAAAAGCUGUCUGGGUUUAAACAUCUUCUAUUGUACAGAAAGUGAAUAGCUUAAUCAAUUGGUAGUGACAGAAUUAGUUUACUUCCCAAGCAAAGACAUUUUUUGUCUCCUUGGCUAAAGAAGGUUGUAGCUCAGCAUGUCAAAGAAAUGUCAGAAAGUAAACAAUGAUAUCCCCAUAUGGAUUGAAGUCAAGUCUUUCCUAGGUAUUUCAAAGGUUGUUUUCUAGCGUAAAGCAUUGCAGUCCAAAGUGCUGUUAUAGAUCACUUUAUAUAAUCAAAACAGUUUUAUUUUCUUCAAAAUCAUAAGCUAGCAAGGGGUAGCCCUGUGUUUUUUUUCUUCCAUUUUCUUUAAGAAAAGGUAGGCCUAUGGCAUACCCUCUCAUACCCCCUCAAUUUGAGUUCUUGUUUUAACUGAACAUCCCUUUACUGAUAGGCUAUAUAAAGAGUGCAUGGUGGGUGGUGGAAUUGCCUGACAAAUCUAUGGAAAUAACAGCCUAUAACCUAAUUUUGUCUGUCAAACAGGUAGUCCGACCUCUUAUUUCUUAAAUAUGAAUAAAUGAGCUCCAACGCAAAGCCAUCUUGUUGUUAGUUAAGUCUAAUUAACUGAAAUGAAUUAUGCCUACUUGAAUUUGCCUACGAGCUGUCUAUUUCCGAGGUCAAUAACUCUGAUAACUACAUCAUAGACAUACUUAUAUAUAUACUGUAUAUAUGUCUGUCACGACUUCCACCGAAGGUGGCUCCUCUCCCUGUUCGGGCGGUGCUCGGCGGUCGUCGUCGCCGGCCUAUUAGAAGGUGGCUCCUCUCCCUGUUCGGGCGGUGCUCGGCGGCCUACUAGAAGGUGGCUCCUCUCCCUGUUCGGGCGGUGCUCGGCGGUCGUCGUCGCUGGCCUACUAGCUGCCACCAAUCCAUUUUUCCUUUUCGUUUGUGUCUGUUUUGUUUACACCUGUGUCCAUUUAGUUGAUUUUCGGUGGGUUUAUUAGCCUCCACUGUCUGCUAGUCUUAGUGCGGGAUUGUUUGCUGUGGUUACUUUGUUAGGGGUGCAUGUCUGCACCACUGGGUUUUCUUUCUCACGGUAGUUGUACCGUUUUGGUAUGUGU
rnacentral:lncRNA from 13 species